UCUCAAAUUAAGGAAUGUAUCGAUUUAAAAAACCUGUAGUUUUUUAGUUCUCUCUCUCAAAUGAAUAACGAGUGUCUGUAUGUCUACUUUUCUCUCUCAAAUGAUGAAAUCAAUAACUGUACUGAAAAACUGCUUGAUUGCUUCUCGGCCCUCUCUCGUCUGUACAAUCUCUCUCAUGCAGGACGGGGAAGGGCAUGCACGGGCGAAGAAGCACGGCAAGCGUGAGAGAAAAAGGUGGAGGGUUUUAAGGGGGGUGAUGAGAGAGAAACUCUAAAGGAGUCCUCUCUCUCUCUCUAACCAAAUGCGUGCCAUCGUGACGCCCUCCUCUCGGCAACCAAAUCUUUGGCAUAUUGACUCCACAUGCACGUUAACAUCAAUCCUUUAAUACACGACAAUGACCCCUCCAUUAACCCCAGCCCUCUCUCUCUCUCUCUCUUCAAUUAAGCGACAUGCUCGGGGUCAUUAGCCCUCCAUGUAUUCCCUGCGCGACGAGUUAGUUAACCUCGGGAUUUGUGGGAGCCUAAUCUAGUGAGAGAGGGCGUUUUAGAGAGAGAAAUUAAGAAAUAUAUAGAGAGAGAGUCAACCCGGCCUACACUGGGCUCGAGAUUGACAGACAGGGACACAAUUAUUGGGAGUCGCGCACACAUCAUUCAGCUGAGCGAAA
rnacentral:lncRNA from 1 species